AGCAGCCGCGGUAAUUCCAGCUCCAAUAGCGUAUAUUAAAGUUGUUGCAGUUAAAAAGCUCGUAGUUGAAUUUCGGGGUUAGUAGGUUGGUCAUGCCUCUGGUAUGUACUGGUCUAGCUGAUUCCUCCUUCCUGAUGAACCUUAAUGCCAUUAAUUUGGUGUUUUGGGGAAUUUGGACUGUUACUUUGAAAAAAUUAGAGUGUUUAAAGCAAGCUAACGCUUGAAUACAUUAGCAUGGAAUAAUGAAAUAGGACGUUCGAUCCUAUUUUGUUGGUUUCUAGGAUUGACGUAAUGAUUAAUAGGGAUAGUUGGGGGCAUUAGUAUUCAAUUGUCAGAGGUGAAAUUCUUGGAUUUAUUGAAGACUAACUACUGCGAAAGCAUUUGCCAAGGAUGUUUUCAUUAAUCAAGAACGAAAGUUAGGGGAUCGAAGACGAUCAGAUACCGUCGUAGUCUUAACCAUAAACUAUAGCCGACUAGGGAUCGGAUGAUGUUAAUUUUUUAAUGACUCAUUCGGCGCCUU
rnacentral:rRNA from 1 species